rnacentral:rRNA from 1 species
CCAAGCAGCCGCGGUAAUUCCAGCUCCAAUAGCGUAUAUUAAAGUUGUUGCAGUUAGAACGCUCGUAGUCGGAUUUCGGGGCGUUCCGACCGGUCUGCCGAUGGGUACGCACUGGUCGGCGCGUCCUUCCUUCCGGAGACCGUGCCUACUCUUAACUGAGCGGGGGCGGGAGACGGAUCGUUUACUUUGAAAAAAUCAGAGUGUUUCAAGCAGGCAGCUCGCUCUUGCAUGGAUUAGCAUGGGAUAAUGAAAUAGGACUUUGGUGCUAUUUUGUUGGUUUCGAACACCGAAGUAAUGAUUAACAGGGACAGUCAGGGGCACUCGUAUUCCGCCGAGAGAGGUGAAAUUCUCAGACCAGCGGAAGACGAACUACUGCGAAAGCAUUUGCCAGGGAUGUUUUCACUGAUCAAGAACGAAAGUUAGGGGAUCGAAGAGGAUCAGAUACCCUCGUAGUCUUAACCAUAAACCAUGCCGACUAGGGAUUGGGGGAUGUUCAAUUAUCGACUCCCUCAGCACCUUACGGGAAACUAAAGUCUUUGGGUUCCGGGGGGAGUAUGGUCGCAAGGCUGAAACUUAAAGGAAUUGACGGAAGGGCACCACCAGGUGUGGAGCCUGCGGCUUAAUUUGACUCAACACGGGGAAACUUACCAGGUCCAGACAUUGUGAGGAUUGACAGAUUGAGAGCUCUUUCUUGAUUCGAUGGGUGGUGGUGCAUGGCCGUUCUUAGUUGGUGGAGUGAUUUGUCUGGUUAAUUCCGUUAACGAACGAGACCUUAGCCUGCUAAAUAGUGACGCGAACACUUCGUUCGCGGGCCACUUCUUAGAGGGACAACUUGUCUUCAACAAGUGGAAGUUUGAGGCAAUAACAGGUCUGUGAUGCCC